rnacentral:tRNA from 1 species
GCGGGUUUCCCAGGUCAGCCGGAUGGGUCUUCUCGGGCUCAUAACCCGAAGGUCGUAGGUUCAAAUCCUACCCCCGCU